rnacentral:rRNA from 1 species
UACGGGGGGGGCAAGCGUUGUUCGGAAUUACUGGGCGUAAAGGGUCUGUAGGUGGCCAACUAAGUCAGACGUGAAAUCCCUCGGCUUAACCGGGGAACUGCGUCUGAUACUGGAUGGCUGGAGUUUGGGAGAGGGAUGCGGAAUUCCAGGUGUAGCGGUGAAAUGCGUAGAUAUCUGGAGGAACACCGGUGGCGAAGGCGGCAUCCUGGACCAAUACUGACACUGAGGAGCGAAAGCCAGGGGAGCAAACGGG